UUUGGUAAUUGGAAUGAGUACAAUCUAAAUCCCUUAACGAGGAUCCAUUGGAGGGCAACUCAAGUGCUAGGAGUCGUGGUAAUUCGUGCUACAAUUGCGUAUAUUUAAGUUGUUGUAGUUAAAAAGCUCGUAG
rnacentral:ncRNA from 1 species